CGUGUCUUAAAAAUUAAUACAGUAGAUACAAAGAAAUUUGGGGAAGGGGGGAGUAAAACAUUGGAAAGAGAAACGUAUUUUCCGUUUAUUCAACAUUAAAAAUUUAGGUUAUAUAACUAACAUCUUCCUCGGUUUAUCUUUCUCUAUUAAAGCAUAUCAUUGAUGGAAAGAAAUUCAAAAGCAAUUAAUCUAAACUCAAUAACCCUUCCGGUUAUGAUUUUUUUUUCAUACAACGAUUUGAAAGUACUCAAUUUGUCAAAG
rnacentral:lncRNA from 1 species